CGCAGAGAAACCCAUGCCAGCAACCGCGGCGGAGCAGCCGGGGCACUGCCGGCAGCUGGAGGGUUCUCACUGGGAACAGUUUCUUCCACGGGUUUGGGGAUGCCCUUUGAUACUCGGCAGGAGUCUGUUUUGGCAGCUAUACGUUGCCUAAGGGAGAGAUCUUUGAGAGGUGAUUUUUUAAGAUACCAAUGGUAUGUGCUGGAUACCUGGCUCUGUACUUCUGUCGAGGGACUUGCAGGGGGAGGGGGGAAUAAAAUACUGGGAAAGAGAAAUGCAGAAAUUUGGGAAAGUGCAAGCAGAUCUCCAGCGAACUCUGGCAGAGGCUGUUCCAGCAAGCUGCGAGUUUUCUGCUUUGAGACACUGAUGGG